rnacentral:misc_RNA from 1 species
CCAGUAGUCGCAUUCGAAUUUGCUUUGAAUGGCAUGGGUCGUAAAUGCCGGUAUAAAUAAUUCAGUGUUUUAAGUGAUUAAAAAGGAUUAAAAGUGCGUAGGUGAAUUACAUUGAGUCUAAUUGAAAGUUCACAGAUUUCGUCGUAUUCCUUCGUCAUGUUCCUUCGUCGUGUUUCUCACAAAUCGUUGCGUGCGUCAUUACAUUAACUUGUACAUUUGGCAUUAUAAUGGUGAGUUCAAUUUAUA